rnacentral:rRNA from 1 species
GAUGAACGCUGGCGGCGUGCCUAAUACAUGCAAGUCGAGCGAACGGACGAGAAGCUUGCUUCUCUGAUGUUAGCGGCGGACGGGUGAGUAACACGUGGAUAACCUACCUAUAAGACUGGGAUAACUUCGGGAAACCGGAGCUAAUACCGGAUAAUAUUUUGAACCGCAUGGUUCAAAAGUGAAAGACGGUCUUGCUGUCACUUAUAGAUGGAUCCGCGCUGCAUUAGCUAGUUGGUAAGGUAACGGCUUACCAAGGCAACGAUGCAUAGCCGACCUGAGAGGGUGAGCGGACACACUGGAGCUGAGACCGGGUGCAGCGACCUACGGGAGGAAGCAGUAGGGAAUCUUCAGCAAGGGGCGGAGGCCUGACUGAGCAACGCCGCGUGAGUGAAGAAGGUAUUCGGAUCGUAAAACUCUGUUAUUAGGGAAGAAAAAAUGUGUAAGUAAAUAUGCACGUCUUGACGGUACCUAAUCAGAAAGACACGGCUAACUACGUG